AGAACUCUGCGGUUUUGUGGAGCUCGAGAGUCCGGGACAAGGUAGACGCAGGAUAUUGACCUUUUUAUUUUUAACUGCAUUUUCAGUUUGGAGGUUGUAAAAUAGGUAUAACAUUUAAGAAAAAAAAUUGAAAGGUGAGUGGAGGGAAAACCCGUAACUCCUUAAACUUUAAAAACUUAUUUCUCUGUUCCCUUAUUUAUUUUAUUUAUUUAUUUAUUUAUUUAUUUAUUUAUUUUGCCGAGUGCUGCCAAUUCUUUGAAAAUAUGAAGCUGGAUGUGGUGGGAAGAACAAGCGUUUUGGCACAAAAAGAUGAUUAAUUGGAUAAACUAUAAAUGGAAAAUGUGGGUGGGCGCUGCAAUUUAGAGGCUUGGGGUCUACUACCUGGUGAAAGGAUUAACAUGGGAAGCUAGUUACGUUUUUGUUUCUUGAGUAUCUUCUGUAAUUAUGGAACUAAAGCCUAUCUGGAAGAGACACAGCUGGUGUAUAUGUAUGGUCCACCAUUCUCUUUAUUAUGUGAGUUCAGUUUUAAUUUAUGCAUUUCAUCUAGUAUGACAUAAACGUUUCCACGCUGCUUCCUCACAAUUUUAACAUUUAAUGGUGAGAUAAAAUUCCAUCCAUUAUUGAUGCCUCAGCCAAAGUAAUUGUCCCUCUGCUGCACAAUGCAAAGUUUUUAAGUUUUACUAUGAAAAUAAUAUUGUAAAGAGUAUCUUUUGUGUGUUUGGCUUUUUAAAUCUGUUGAAUUAUUUUGUUUGUAUAAUUUUCCUGAACUAGGAAUUUGGGGUCAAAAUAUUCCAAAACAUUUUAAUAACUAUAAAUGAUGUUGCUUUCCAAAAUGAACAAGCUUACAGCACUAUCAGAAUACACAACACCAAACCAUACCAUUUUUUUUCCUUUAAAUUCUUUGGUAUGAAAUGUUACCCCUAGGUAACUAUACUUAUAAUUCUUUGGUUACUAUCAAGAUCUGAUGUCUUUCUUGUGUUUCUAAACUAUCUCUGUGUCCUCUGAUGUAAAUUCUUUGUUUAUAUAUUUAUGUUUUGCAUAUGAAUUUGAAUAAUAUAUUUAUAAAUAAGUAACAUUAGCCUUUGCCAUAUUUUAUGCUAUUGCUUUUCCCAUUCUCUUGUCUCUCUUUUCCUUUUAUUUGUUUCUUUUGCUAUUGCACUUUGUGAGAGGUUUCAUGCUAUUUAGUCAAAUUUAGGUUUUCCGUUACGUGAAUCCUAGAAAGUAAAUACACUGCCAGAAUAUCUUCCAUGUAUUCAUUAAUUCAACAGAUAUCUAUUGGAUGCUGAUGAUUAUGAAACAAAGUAGCAAAGAUAAGAAGCCAUUUGCUCAUUCUGCUCCUUUGCCAGCAAUAUUUCACAAAGCCCCUGACUCAUUGACUGUGAGCAGCCUUGUGGAAGAAUGCCUUGAAGACCAUAAGCAGGAUAGGGAAUAGGUUUGCACAUCUCUUGCCUGAAUCACUGAAUUUUUACAAAAGAAAAGGUUCAAUUAAGUGGUUGAAAAGCUUCAGGAAGAAAUUUAAGCUAAAUUGAAAUGAGGGAGUAACAUCAGCAAGAUAAUGAAAUGGAGGAUCCCCUACUAUCACUCCCUCCAUAAAAAUACAACUAGAAACUACUUAAAGACAAGAACACAACCCUGAGUUCACCACAAUUCAAGGGAGAAUUGAAGAAACCUCCGGGGCCCUCAGAAUUGAGAGAAGCUGUGACAGGUAUGAAAAAUGGCUGUUUCAGACAUUGCAGCCCCCUCCAUCAAGCUGGCAUAAUGUCGCUCAUAGAGAAUUUUCCUAGACUCAUGGUUUCUAAGGUAAGAAGAGGGAGUUGGAAGUGGACAUACGAUCUCCCCACCAGUCUGGGAAUCUUCUCAGGAAGCCCACUUCUGCCCCAUCCCAUGGGAACAAUUGGGAGUGUCAGAAGGGCUGACCAACCUUGGAUGAAAUGAGACAAAGAGUGGGACACUGAUCAUAGUGACUGGCACGUGGAUCUUGGCAGUUAACUCUUCACUCCAAUCAGUAUGGACACCACAUUGAAGAGACUGGCUGGCACCAUAGUGCUAUAGGGGACACAGUCUGUGAGAAGGCCUGAAUCCCUGGACAGAUUUCAACAAAGACUAGGUGUUCCCAUGGAGCCUCCACUGGACCAGAAACAACUAGAAACGUUGGGAUUGAGUUCCAGUGACUGCUUAAGUCUUCCACAAACUGGGAGACAGUGGCAGGGCAGCCACAUAGCUCCAGAGCAUUGUUAACUUAGUACUCACAAUAAGUUUUCCCCACACUGGGAAAUAGUGGCAGGGCAAAAGUUAGUUCCAGUGCAGUGAUUUAGUUCUGGUACUCACUAUAAAUUCUCCCAAAAAAAAAAAAAAAAAAAAGAAUAUCAGCAGUUAAGUUCUGAUACUAAGUAGUAAAGGUCAAACACCACCAAAGAAUACCUGCAAGUAAUGGAAGAGGUAGCUAUCUCCUAAAAUGUGCAGGUAUUAAGGCAAACCCACAAGAAUUGUAAAAACCCAGGGAAAUAUGACCUUACCAAAAGAAAUCAACAAAGCUCCAGCAAUGGAGCUAGAAGAAGUGAAGACCUAGGAAAUGUUAAACAGACAAUUCAAAAUAAUCCUCUUAAACAAAUUUAGAGAAUCAUAAGAAAAUAUGGAUAGAAAAAAAAUAAAAUUUGGAAAGUAACCCAGGAACAAAAUGAGAUAUUUGACAAAGAAAUAAAAGAAAUAAGAAAUAAAAACAAACAAAUCCAUUAUUUCUAGGGUUUCUAGAAAUAAAGAAACCGUAACUAAACUGACACAAUAACUAAACUGAAAAACUCAUUGGAAAGCUUCAACAUCAGACUUGAUUAGAGAAAAGAAUUAGCAAGUUUGAAGACAGCACAUAUGAAAUUACCUAAUCAGAGGAGAAAAAAAGAAAAAAGAAUUUAAAAGCAUAAAAAAGAACUUUUUAAGAAUUAUGGCACAUGAUCAAGCAAACUAACCUCUGCAUAGUAGGAAUUCCCAAAGGAGGCAAGAGAGAAAAAGGCCUAGAAGACAUAUUUAACAAAACAAUGGUGAAAAUUUCCCAAAGAUGGAGAAAGAGGACACCAUUCAGAUACAGGAAUCUUGGAGGUCAUCAAUCAAAUUAAACCCAAAGAGGAAAUCCCUAAGGCAUAUCACAAUCAAAUUAGCAAAAAUCAGAGACAACAAAAAUACUCAGUGCAGCAAAAGAAAAGAAAAAUAUUACAUUAAACAAAGCACCAAUACAGCUUUCACUGGAUUUCACAGCAGAAAUCCUACAGGCCAGGUGAGAAUGGGAAGCUUGAAAGUGCUGAAAGAAAAAAAAAAACUGUCAACCAAGAAUAAUGUGCCCAGCAAAGCUAUUAAAACAAGAAGAGAGAUAAAGACUUUCUCAGACAAACAAAAACUGAGGGAAUUUGUCAGCACCAGACCUGUGUUACAAGACAUGCUAAAGAGAGUUCUUCAAUCUGAAAGAAAUGGAUGCUAAUGUGUAACAAGAAACAAUCUGCAGGUAUGAAACUCAUUGGUAAAAGAAAGAAAACAGACCAAUUCAGAACACAUCAAUAGUGAAAUUAGGGUAAGUAAAUGACCUAUAUCUUAAAUAUGAAGAUUAAAAGACAAAACCACUAAAAACAAUAACUACAAUUUAUUAAGAGAUGCACAAUGUAAAAAAAGUAAAUUGAAACACAAAAAAGUCAAAAUGUGGUGAGAGGAUGUUAUUAAAGUGUAGAGUUUGUUGUUUCUUAUCUUUUCUUUGCAAUAAAAUAUAAGUCACUAUCAGUUUAAAAUAACUUAUUAUAAAUAUAAGAGGGUUUUUGUAAGCCUCACGUUAACCAUAAAGCAAAAACCUACAAUAGAUAUAUAAAAAUAAAUAGCAUGAAAUAAAAACGUACUACCAGAGGAAAUCACUUAACCACAAAGGAAGAGAGUGAGAGAGGAAAAGGGAAGAAUUCACAAAACAACAAGAAGUCAAGUAACAAAAUGGCAGUAGUAAACCCUUACUGUGAAUAAUAACUUUGAAUGUAAAUGGAUCAAAUUGUCCAACCAAAAGACAUAGAGUGGCUGAAUGGAUUUAAAAAACAAGAUCCAACUGUAUGCUAUCUACAAGUACUUCACUUAAUCUAUGAAGACAUUCACAGACUAAAAGUGAAGGAAUGAAAAAAGAUAUUUCAUGCAAAUAGAAACCAAAAAGGAACAGGGAUAGGUUUACUAAUAUCAGAUAAACUAGACUUGAAGCCAAGAGUCAUUUUUAAAAUGACAAAAAAGAAAGCCAUUAUAUAAUGAUAUAGGGGACAGUACAGCAAGAAUACAUAACAAUUGUAAAUAUAUAUGCACCCAAUACUGGAACACACAAAUAUGUAAAAAAGUUAAUAGACUUAAAGGGAGAGAUUGACUACAAUAAAUAGUACUAGGAGAUUUCAACACCCCAUUUUCAGUGAUGGCCAGAUCACUCAGACAGAAAAGUAACAAAGAAACAUUGGAGUUAAAAUGAACUCUAGACCAAAGGAACAUAACAGAUAUUUUAUGUUAUGUUAUAUUUUAUUUUAUUUUAUGUUACAGAUAUUACAGAACAUUCCAUCCAACAGCUGCAGAAUACACAUUUUUCUCAACAGCACAUAGAAGAUUAUCCAGGAUAGAUCAUAUGUUAGGUCCCAAAACAAGUCUUGACACAUUCUUUAAAAAUCCAAAUCAUAUCAAGUGCAUUUCUUACCACAAUUAUUCCAAUUAUUCUACCAUUCUGGAAUAAAACUAGAAACCAGUUUUAAAAAAAGGAACACUGGAAAUUGUACAAACUCAUGGAAAUGAAACAACAUACUCCUGAACACUGAAUGGGUCAACGAAGAAAUUAAAAAGGAAAUUUAAAAUUAUCUUCAGACAAAUGAAAAUGGAAACAUGACAUACUAAAGCCUAUGUAAUAUAUCAAAGCAGUUCUAAGAGCAGUUCUGUAGCAAUAAAUGCCUACAUCAAAAAAGUAGAAAGACUUCAAAUAAACAACCUAAAGAUCACCUCAAGGAACUAGACAAGCAAAAACAAACAACACUCAUAAUUCAGAUAAAGUAUCUAUCUGAACAAUACAAAAGAUUGAAGUAGCAAAAAUUGCAUUUUUGAAAUAAUAAAUGAAAUUAACAAAACUUUAGCUAGACCAAAGAAAAGAGAGAGGACUCAAAUAAAUAAAAUCAGAAACAAAAAAGGAGAUAUUACAAUGGAUACCACAGAAAUAGAGAAUCAUUAGAGAUUAUUAUGAAUAACUAUAUGCCAAUAAAUUGGAAAAACUAGGAAGAAAAAGAUUAAUUCCUGGGCCCUUACAACCUACCAAGAUGAAACCAGGAAGAAAUAGAAAACCUGAACAGACCAAUAACAAGUAAUGAGAUUAAAACAGUAAUAAAAAGUAUCCCAUCAAAGAAAAGCCCAAGAUCUGAAGGAUUCACUGUUGAAUUCUACCAAACAUUUAAAGAAGAAUUAAUGCCAAUUCUACACAAACUAUUCAAAAAUCUUAAAGAAGAAGGAAUACUUCCAAACUCAUUCUAUAAGGCCAGCAUUACCAAGAUACCAAAACUAGACAAAUAUACAAUUAAAAAAGAAAACCACAUAUCAAUUUCAUUGAUAAACAUAGAUGCAAAAAUUCUUAACAAAUAUCAUCAAACUGAAUUCCACAACAUAUUUUAAAAGAUCAUUCCAUCAUAGUCAAGUGAGAUUUAUCCAAGAGAUGCAAUAAUGGUUCAACAUAUGCAAAUCAGUAAACUUGAUACACCACACUGACAGAAUCAAGAAUAAAAAUUGUAUGAUCAUUUCAAUAAAUGCUUAAAAAGUAUUUGAUAAAUUUCAACAUUUUUUCCAUGAUUAAAACUCUCAACUAAUUGGGUAUAGAGGGAACAUACUUCAAAAAAAUGAAGGUGAAUAUGUGAAAAACCCACAGCUAACAUACUGAAUAAGGAAAAACUGAAAGCCUUUCCUCUAAGAUCUGGAACACAACAAGGAUCCCCAUUCUCACCACUUUUUCAAUAGAGUACUGGAAGUUCUAGCCAGAAAAACUAGACAAGAGAAAGAAAAUAAAGGACAACUAAAUUGGAAAGGAAGAAGUCAAGUUAUCUUUGUUCAUAGAUGACAUGAUUCUAGGUUUUGAAAACUUUGCAAUUCCAUGAAGAAACUAUAAUAACUAAUAAACAAAUUUGGUAAAGUUUCAGGAUACAAAAUCAACAUAUAAAAAUUAGUAGCACUUCUACAUGCCAGUGGAAACAAUCUGAAAACAAUCAAUAAAGUAAUCCCAUUUAUAAUAGCAACAAAAAAUUGAAAUAGCUAAAAAUAAAUUUAACUGAAGAAAUGAAACCUCUCUACAAGGAAAACUAUAAAACACUGACGAAAGAAGUUAUAGAAGACUCACAAAAAAUGGAAUGAUAUCCCAUGUUCAUGGAUUGGAAUAAUCAAUAUUGCUAAAAUGUCCAUACUACCCAAAACAAUCUACAAAGUCAAUGCAAUCCCUAUCAAAACACCAAUGAUAUUAUUCACAGAAGAAGAAAAAAACAAUUUUAAAAUUUGUUUGGAACCACUAAAGACCCCAAAUAACCAAAGCAAACCUGAGAAAAAGAACAAAGCUGGAGGUAUUACACUGAUUUCAGAAUAUACUGCAAGGCUAUAGUAAUAAAAACAGCGUACUGGCAUAAAAACAGACACUUAGGCCCAAUGGAACAGAAUAGAGAACACAGAAAUAAAUCCACAUGUUUAUAACCAAAUCAUUUUUGACAAAGGUGCCAAGAACAUACUUUGGGGAAAGAACAAUCUCUUCAAUACAUGGGAAAGCUAGAUAUCCAUAUGCAGAAAAAUAAAAUUAGAUUUCUAUCCUUCACAAUAUUCCAAUACCAAAUAUAAAGGGAUAAAAGAUUUAAAAAUAAGACCUGAAACUAUGAAAUUACUAAAAGAAAACAGCGAGGAAUCACUUCAGGACAUUGGUGUGGGCAAAGAUGUAUGGGGUAAGACCUCAAAAGCACACACAAUAAAACCUGGAUAUAGACAAGUUGGAUUACAUCAAGCUAAAAAUGUUUUACAUAGCAAAGAAAACAAUCUAUAAAGUUAAGAGACAACCUACAGAAUGGAAGAAAAUAUUUGCAAAGCAUCUAUCUGAAAAGUGAUUACUAAACAGAAUAUAUAAGGAACUCAAACAACUCAAUAAGAAAAAAACAAAUAAUUCAAUUUUUAAAAUGGGCAAAUGAUCUAAAUAGACAUUUCGCCAAAGCAGACAUACAAAUGGCAAAGAGGAAUAUAAGACAAGUGUUCAGUACUGCUCAUCAUCAGGGAAAUAUAAAUCAAAACUACAGUGGGAUAUCAUCUCACCCCGGUUAGAAUGGCUAUUAUCAAAAAGACAAAAAAUAACAAAUGCUGGCAAGGAUGUGGCGAAAGGGGAAUGGUCAUAUACUGUUGGUGGGAUAGUAAAUUAGGCUGCCUCUAUGGAAAACAGUAUGGAAGUUUCUUCAAAAACUUAAAAUUAAUCCACAAUAUGAUCUGCUGAGUAUAUAGCCAAAAAAGAAAGGAAAUCAGUACACCAAAGAGAUAUUGGAGGAAGAAGCAAAGCAAGAUGGCCAGAUAGAACCCUCCAGUGAUUGUCCCCACUGCAGGAAUACCAAAUUGAAUAAAUAUCUUUGCAAGAAAACACCUUCAUAAGAAACAAUAAUAUGUUGAGCCUUCACAGUGCCUGGUUUUAAUAUGGUAUCAAGGAAAGAGGAACUGAAAAGGAUAGGAAAGACUGUCUUGCAUCGGCUACACUACCCAUCCCCCAUCCUGGGAAAUGCAUGGAAAGAAAAUCUAUGUGCUUGGGGGAGGGAGAGUGAAGUGAUUGUGGGACUUUGCAUUGGAACUCAGUGCUGCCCUAUCACAGAGGAACCCAGCACAGGGAAGAAUUCUACCAUUGCCCAUGGAGGGAGAAUAUAGAAUAGCCUCAGCCAGAGUAGAAUCCUCUGCCCCAAAGAAGUUCCAGCUAGCUCCACCAUGGACUCACUACAGUGACCUAGAGUCCUGAAUAUAUUUGAAAGGCAGGCAGGCCACAAGGACUGCAGUCUCUAAGCAAGUCCUGGUGCUGCACUGGGCUCGAAGUCAGUGGACUAGUGGACUUGGGGUGCAGCAACCCAGUGAAACAUCAGCUGCUACAGUUAAGGGAAGGCUUACAUCACCCCUCCAAAAACUCCAAGCAGUACAGCUCAAGUCGACUCCUUCCACUUGCAGAAAAGAGAGGGAAGAUUACAGAGGACUUUGCCUUGCAACGUGGGUACCAGCUCAGCCACAAUGAACUAAAGCAUCAGGCAGAUUCCUGAAGCCCCUGAUUCCAGGCCCUAGUUUCUGGACAAGCAUUUCUAGACCCACCCUGUGCCAGAAGGCAACCCAAUACCCAGAAGGCAAAGACCCAGUCCUGGCAGGAUUCACCACCUGAUGACUAAAGAACUGUUGGUCUUUGAAUGAACAUCAGUGAUAGCCAGGCAGUAGUAACCAUGGGCCUUGGGCAAGAUAUAGCAAUAUGCUGACUUCAGGUGUGAUCCAGCACAGUCCCAGCUGUGGUGGCCAGGGAAGUGCUUGCAUCACAACUUCCCCAACUCCAGGCAGCCCAGCAUGGAAAGAGAGGCUCCUGUUUGGGGUAAGUGAGGGAAGAAAAUGAGAGAUCCUGCUUGGUAAUCCAGGGGAUUCUUCUGGAUCUUACCCAAGCCCUCUUUGAGCCUGCAAGUGUCACAGUGUUACUGGGCUCAGGGUGCUCUCUAGUCCAGAUACAGCUGCAGUGACCAGAGACUUAGAUGACAACAUUCAAUUCUCUUUGAAUAUCCCAAAAGUCUUCUCAAGAAAGAUUGGUACAAACAAGCCCAGACUGUGAAUAUUAGAAUAAAUACCUAAUUCUUCAAUGUCCAGGCAUCAAUAAACAUCCAUAGGCAUCAAGACUAUCCAGGAAAACAUGACCUCACCAAACAAACUAAAUAAGGCACCAGUGACCAAUCCUGCAGUGACAGAGAUGUGUGAACUUUCACACGGGGAAUUCAAAAUAGUUACUUUAAGGAAGCUCAACAAACUUCAAGAUAAUACAGACAAGGAAUCCAGAAUUCUAUCAAAAAUUUUUAACAAAGAGAUUGAAUCUUUUUUAAAAAAUUAAGAAGAAAUUCUGGAGUGGAAAAAUUCAACUGACAAACUGAAAAAUGCAUCAGAGACUCUAAACAGCAGAAUUGAUUAAGCAGAAGAAAAAAUUAGUGAGCUUCACGACAGGGUAUAUGAAAAUAUACGGUCAGAGGAGAAAAAAUUGAAAUGAAUAAAAAAGAAUGAAGCAUGCCUACAAGAUAUAGAAAACAGCAUCAAAAGGGCAAACCUUAAGAGUUAUUGGCCUUAAAGAAGAGGUAGAGAUAUUGAGCUAGAAAACUUAUUCAAAUAAAUAACAGAACUUUCCAAACCUGCAGAAAGAUACCAAUAUUCAAGUAUAAGAAGGUCAUAGAACACCAGGAAGAUUUAACCCAAAUAAGACUAUCUCAAGAUAUUUAAUAAAACCUCAAAGGUCAAGGAUAAAGGAUUCUAAAGGCAACAAAAGAAAAGAAGCAAAUAACAUAUAAAGAGCUCCAAUGUGUCUGGCAGACUUCUCAGUGGAAACCUUAUAGUCCAGGAGAUAGUGGCAUGACAUAUUUAAAGUGCUGAAGGAAAUAAAAUUUUUAUCCUAGAGUAGUAUAUCCAGUGAAAAUUCCUUAAAACAUGAAGAAGAAAUAAAGACUUUCCCAGACAAAUAAAAGCUGGCUGAUUUUGUCAACACCAGACCUGUCUACAAGAAAUGCUAAAGGGACUCCUUCAAUCUGAAAGAAAGGGUUGUUAAUGAGCAAUAAAAAAUUAUCCAAAGUUACAAAACACUGGUAAGAGUAAGUACACAGAUAAAUGCAGAAUACUCUAACACUGUGUGGUGUAUAAACCACUCAUUUACUGAGUAGGAAUACUAAAAGACAAAACUGUCAAAUACAAUAACUACAACAAAGUUUUAAGAGGCAGAGUGUAUAAAAAGGUAAGAAACAACAAAAUGUUUAAAAAGUCAGGGGGAUGGAGUUAAAGUGUAGAACUUUUAUUAGUUUUCUCUUUGCUUUUUUGUUUUUGUUGUUUUUCUGUAAUCAGAGUUAAGCUGUUAUGAGUUUAAAAUAGUUAUAUCAUUUACAAGCCUCAUGGUAACCUCAAAUUAAAAAAAACCUACAACAGAUACACAAAAAAUAAACAGCAAGAAAUGAAAGCAUACUACCAGAGAAAAAUCACUUUUACACAAAGAAACCGGGAAGGAAGGAAAACCAAAAAUCAACCAGAAAAUAAAUAAAAUGGCAUUAGUGCCAUGUGAUCCAGCAAUCUCAAUGCUGAGUUAGAAAAGAUAGGAAAUUGGUACAUCCAAGAGAUAUCUGCACCCCCAUGUUUAUUGCAGCACUAUUCACAAUAGCCAAGAUUUGGAAUCAACCUAAGUAUCCAUCAACAGGUGAAUGGAUAGAGAAAAUGUGGUACAUAUACACCAAGCUGGUCCAACCCAUGGCCCAUGGGCCACAUGUGGCCCAGGAUGGUUUUGAAGGCAGUCCAACACAAAUUCAUAAACUUUCUUAAAACAUUAUGAGAUUUUUGUGUGUGUGUGUGUGUGUGUGUUUUUUUUUUAGCUCAUCAGCUAUCAUUAGUGUUAGUGUAUUUUAAGUGUGGCCCAAGACAAUUCUUCUUGCAAUGUGGCCCAUGGAAGCUAAAAUGUUGGACACCCCCAAAUGGAAUAUUAUUCAGCCUGUCAUUUGCAACAACAUGAACGGAACUGGAGGACAUUGCGUCAGGCACAGAAAGACAAAUUUUGCAUCUUCUCAUACAUAUUUGGGAGCUAAAAAUUAAAACAAUGGAACUCAUGGAACUAGAAAGUAGAAUGAUGCUUACCAGAGGCUGGGAAAUGUAGCAGGGAGUAGAAGAAAGACUGGGGAUAGUUAAUGGGUAUAAAAAUAUAGUUAGAAUAAAUAAGAUCUAGUAUUUAAUACCACAACUGGGUGACUUUAUUUUUUUUUAAGUUCAGAGGUACAUGUGCAGGAUGUGCAGGUUUGUUACAUAGGUAAAUGUGUGUCAAGGGGGUUUGUAGUACAGAAUAUUUCAUUAGCCAGGUAUUAAGUAAGCCUAGUAUCCAUUAUUUAGUUUUCCUGAUCCUCUCCCUCCUCCCACCCUCCGAGAGGCCCCAGUAUGCAUUGUUCACCUGUAUGUGUCCAUCUGUUCUCAUCAUUUAGCUCCCACUUCUAAGUGAGGACACAUGGUAUUUGGUUUUCUGUUCCUACAUUAGUUUGCUAAGGAUGAUGGCCUCCAACUCCAUCCAUGUUCCUGCAAAGGACAUGAUCUCAUUCCCUUUUAUGGCUGCAUGAUAUUCCAUGGUGUAUAUGUACCACAUCUUUUUUAUCCAGUCUAUCGUUGAUGGGCAUUUAGGUUGAUUCCAUGUCUUUGCUAUUGUGAAUAGGGCUGCAAUGAACACACACGUGCAUGUGUCUUUAUAAAAGAAUGAUUUCUAUUCCAUUGGGUAUAUACCCAGUAAUGGGAGUGCUGGAUCAAAUGGCAUUUCUGUCUCUAGGUCUUUGAGGGAUCAUCACACUAUCUUCCACAAUGGUUGAACUAAUUUACACUCCCACCAACAGUGAAAAGCAUUCCUUUUUCUCCACGACCUUGCCAGCAUCUAUUAUUUUUUGACUUUUUAAUAAUAGCCAUUCUGACUGACGUGAGAUGAUAUCUCAUUGUGGUUUUGAUUUGCCUUUCUCUAAUGAUGAAUGAUGCACAACUGGGUGACUUUAGUCAACAAUAAUUUAUUGUAUAUUUAAAAAUAACUAAAAUAGUAGAAUUGGAAUGGCACUAAUAUAAAGAAAUGAUGAAUGUUUGAGGUGAUGGAUACUCCAAUUACCCUGAUGUGAUUAUUACACUUUGUAUGCCUAUAUCAAAACAUCACAUGUACCCCAUAAAUAUAUAUACCUAUUAUAUACCCACAAUAAUUAAAAAUCCAUUUUUUUAAAAAAACUGGUGCAGUGGCUCAUUCCUAUAAUCCUAGCACUUUUGGAGGCCAGGGUGAGAAGAUCACUUGAGAUCAGGAGUUCAAGACCAGCCUGAGCAACAUAGCAAGACUUUGCCUCUAAAAAUAAAAAUAAAAAAUUAACCAGGUAUAGUGGUAAGCACCUGCAGUACCAGCUACUUGGGAGGCUGAGGGAGGAGGAUCACAUGAGUCCAGAAGUUAGAGGUUGCAGUGAUCUAUGACUGCACCACUGCAAUCCAGCCUCAGCAACAGAGUGAGACCCUGUCUCUAUAAAAUUUUUUUUUAAUUUACAGAGGUAUCUGCACUUCCAUGUUUAUUGCAGCAUUAUUCACAAUAGCCAAGAUGUAGCAGCAACCUAAGUGUCCAUCAGUGGAUAAAUGGAUAAAGAAAAAGUGGUAUAUAUACACAAUGAAAUAUUAUUCAGCCAUAAAAAAGAAUGAAAUCCUGUUAUGUGCAGCAACAUAAAUGGAAGUGGAGGACAUUUUGCUAAGUGAAGUAAGCCAGACUCAAUAAAAUAAAUAUUGCAUGUUCUCAUUCAUAUGUGGAAGCUAAAAUGUUGAUAUCAAGAAGAAAUAAGCCAGAUUCAAUAAGACAAAUAUUGCAUGUUCUUAUUCACAUGUGGAAGCUAAAAUGUUGACAUGAUGAAGAUAGAGAGUAGAAUGAUGGUUACCAGAGGCUGGGAAGGGAAGGGGCAAAGGGGAUAUGAAGAGAGGCCGGUUGAUGGGUACAAACAUACAGUUAUAUAGAAGGAAUAAGUUACGGUGUUUGAUAGCACAGCAGAGUGACAAAAGUUAAUAAUUUAUUGCAUAUUUCUAACUAGAACAGAAGAUUUGGAAUGUUCCUAACACAAAGAAAUGAUAAAUGUUGGGGGUGAUGAUUAUCCUAAUUAUCCUGAUUUAAUCAUCAUGCAUUGUAUGCUUGUAUCAAAAUAUUACAUAUACUCCAUAACUAUAUAUAAUUAUUAUGUAUCAAUAAGAUAAAUAAACAAAUAAUAAAAUCAAAUUGGAAGUAAGUGUAUAUUUUCCAAAGGGAAAUGGGGGAGGGGGUAUGGUGGAGGUACUUCAGAUAUCUGAAAAGACAGAUGUCCAAAAGCAAAAAGUAGUGGAGAGGUGGUAAUUAGACCAAUUUAGUGGACUGGCUAAAGGUUCUUUUAUGAAUGUUGUUGGCAGUAAAGCUAGAAAGCUCAUUAGUGACAGAACACAGAAGAGCUUAC
rnacentral:lncRNA from 1 species